rnacentral:rRNA from 1 species
UACGUAGGGGGCAAGCGUUAUCCGGAUUCACUGGGUGUAAAGGGAGCGUAGACGGCGACGCAAGUCUGGAGUGAAAGCCCGGGGCCCAACCCCGGGACUGCUCUGGAAACUGCGUCGCUGGAGUACGGGAGGGGCAGGCGGAAUUCCUGGUGUAGCGGUGAAAUGCGUAGAUAUCAGGAGGAACACCGGCGGCGAAGGCGGCCUGCUGGACCGUGACUGACGUUGAGGCUCGAAAGCGUGGGGAGCAAACAGG